rnacentral:misc_RNA from 1 species
AGCAGCCGCGGUAAUUCCAGCUCCAAUAGCGUAUAUUAAAGUUGUUGCAGUUAAAAAGCUCGUAGUUGAAUUUCGGGAUCAAUAUGUUGGUCGUGCCUCGGUACGUACUAGCAUAUUGGUUUCUCCUUUCUGAAGAACCAUGAUGUCAUUUAUUUGGUGUCGUGGGGAAUCAGGACUGUUACUUUGAAAAAUUAGAGUGUUUAAAGCAGGCUCACGCUUGAAUACAUUAGCAUGGAAUAAUGAAAUAGGACGUUUGAUUCUAUUUUGUUGGUUUCUAGGAUCGACGUAAUGAUUAAUAGGGAUAGUUGGGGGCAUUAGUAUUCAAUUGUCAGAGGUGAAAUUCUUGGAUUUAUUGAAGACUAACUACUGCGAAAGCAUUUGCCAAGGAUGUUUUCAUUAAUCAAGAACGAAAGUUAGGGGAUCGAAGACGAUCAGAUACCGUCGUAGUCUUAACCAUAAACUAUAGCCGACUAGGGAUCGGAUGAUGUUAAUUUUUAAUGACUCAUUCGGUACG